rnacentral:rRNA from 1 species
AGUGAACGCUGGCGGUAGGCCUAACACAUGCAAGUCGAACGGCAGCACAGUAAGAGCUUGCUCUUACGGGUGGCGAGUGGCGGACGGGUGAGGAAUACAUCGGAAUCUACUUUUUCGUGGGGGAUAACGUAGGGAAACUUACGCUAAUACCGCAUACGACCUACGGGUGAAAGCAGGGGAUCUUCGGACCUUGCGGGAAUGAAUGAGCCGAUGUCGUAUUAGCUAGUUGGCGGGGUAAAGGCCCAGCAAGGCGACGAUCCGUAGCUGGUCUGAGAGGAUGGUCGGCCACACUGGAACUGAGACACGGUCCAGACUCCUACGGGAGGCAGCAGUGGGGAAUAUUGGACAAUGGGCGCAAGCCUGAUCCAGCCAUACCGCGUGGGUGAAGAAGGCCUUCGGGUUGUAAAGCCCUUUUGUUGGGAAAGAAAAGCAGCAGGUUAAUACCCCGCUGUUCUGACGGUACCCAAAGAAUAAGCACCGGCUAACUUCGUG